UAUGUGUGUGUGUGUGUGUGUGUGUGUGUGUGUAUAUAUAUAUAUACACACACACAUACAUACACACACACACAUAUU